rnacentral:rRNA from 1 species
GACGAACGCUGGCGGCGUGCUUAACACAUGCAAGUCGAACGAUGAAGCUGGAGCUUGCUCCGGUGGAUUAGUGGCGAACGGGUGAGUAACACGUGAGCAAUCUGCCCUUGACUCUGGGAUAACUGCGGGAAACUGUAGCUAAUACCGGAUAUGAGAUCUGAAGGCAUCUUAGGGUUUGGAAAGAAUUUCGGUCAAGGAUGAGCUCGCGGCCUAUCAGCUAGUUGGUGAGGUAAUGGCUCACCAAGGCGACGACGGGUAGCCGGCCUGAGAGGGUUACCGGCCACACUGGAACUGAGACACGGUCCAGACUCCUACGUGAGGCAGCAGUGGGGAAUAUUGCACAAUGGGCGAAAGCCUGAUGCAGCAGCGCCGCGUGAGGGAUGAAGGCCUUCGGGUUGUAAACCUCUUUUAGCAGGGAAGAAGCGAAAGUGACGGUACCUGCAGAAAAAGCACCGGCUAACUACGUGCCAGCCGCCGCUGUAA